rnacentral:rRNA from 1 species
AAUACAAUAUCCUUGAUUAGAGCCAAAAAUUGAUCGAUCUUAUCAGGUUCGGCUGCGAUAAACUUCUGACUUAUUUCCUUUCGGUUAGCAACAGAACCGAUGCAGUCCAUUUCAAUCAGCUUAUUACAGUUCAAAUAUAAAUUCGCGAAUAUUUCCACUUCCGUCGAUUUGCUGGUGGCGAAUGCGGCUGACAAAUAUUUCACAUUUGGCUUGACAUCCGCAAUAAUUUUCGUAUUCGUACAUCUUCUCCCUCUCAACAUUUCGUCGAUUUCAUCAAAGAUAAAAAAUCGACAAUAGCGCAACGACAGUAAACCAUCUUUCAUGAAGCGAGUUAUACAUUCCGGAACCCCGACAAGAAUAUCGCAUCCAUUGAACAAUGCCGGCAACUGUUGCUUAGAAGAGUUUUGAGCGUGAGCUCGCUCGGAGCCGCUGUUGGUGCAGAUCUUGGUGGUAGUAGCAAAUAUUCAAGUGAGAACCUUGAAGGCUGAAGUGGAGCAAGGUUCCAUGUGAACAGCAGUUGGACAUGGGUCAGUCGAUCCUAAGAAAACGGCGAAAGCUUGUUCGAAUUUGCGACAUGAAUUGUAAGACUGUGUGUGUUUAUUGUGUGUGCAGUUGUCGUAUGUUUUCGAAAGGGAAUCCGGUUGAUAUUCCGGAACCGAGUAACGGAGACAAAGAGUAGCGCUUUAAUCUCUCUGUGGGGUUGGCGUUCAACUCAAUCGCGCGGUAACGCAAGCGAACUCGGAAAAUGACCGUCGUGAGUUUCGAAAAGAGUUUUCUUUUCUUUUUAAGGGACGCAUUCCCUGGAACCGGGUUGUCCGGAGAUAGGGAUUCUGGUAUCCAUAAAACGCCGACUUUUUCACGGUGUUCGGAGCGCUCUCGUCGGUACGUGAAAAUCCGAGCGACGCCUGGUAAAUCUCGUACUUGGUCGUACUGAUAUCCGCAGCAGGUCUCCAAGGUGAAUAGCCUCUGGCCGAUAGAAUAAUGUAGGUAAGGGAAGUCGGCAAAACGGAUCCGUAACUUCGGAACAAGGAUUGGCUCUAAGGGCUGGGCCGAUCGGGCUGAGGUUUCAAGCGUGCAGUGUAUGCUUGGCUGAGUUGUGUUGAGGACUUGUUCACUUGCCGCCGUUUGUUCGGUUGGUCUAGUGUAUUCGAGUCUGAAGCAGAGCUGGCCGACAGACCGGCACGUGCAGAACCUGAGCUGCGCGGCUGUCCGUUUACGUGUACAGACCGUUUCGGUCGGCAUUCAACAGCCAACUUAGAACUGGCACGGACACAAGGAAUCUGACUGUAUAAUUAAAACAAAGCAUUGCGAUGGCCGAUGAUCGGUGAUGACGCAAUGUGAUUUCUGCCCAGUGCUCUGAAUGUCAAAGUGAAGAAAUUCAAUCAAGCGCGGGUAAACGGCGGGAGUAACUAUGACUCUCUUAAGGUAGCCAAAUGCCUCGUCAUCUAAUUAGUGACGCGUAUGAAUGGAUCAACAAGAUUCCUUCUGUCCCUAUCUACUAUCUAGCGAAACCACAGCCAAGGGAACGGGCUUGGCAAAAUCAGCGGGGAAAGAAGACCCUGUUGAGCUUGACUCUAGUCUGACUCUGUGAAGAGACAUGAAAGGUGUAGCAUAGGUGGGAGAUUGUCAAAUUGCCAUCGUUCGCGCGGUGGUCCGGUGAUCGCCAAUGAAAUACCACUACUUUGAUCGUUUCUUUACUUAUUCGGUAAAGCGAAAAAAUUGUGGCCAAUUUGGCGGUGUUUAUGUCGCUGUUGGUCAUUGUUUUCAUGUUAGAUUGAAGCUUUGUUUACAGCCGUCGCUUUGUGUCGCCAUUUGACGCAUUGUUGUACUGGGUUAUCCGUUGCCCAGUUCUUUCCCAUCUGAUAUUGCCAGACAUCGUGGAAAUACCAACCAAACGGAAUCAGAUCAGACCAAUAAAUUCCAUCUCCUCGAUCUUUCAUCCAAUCUUGAGAGACUCUAAUUUGUAGCAGACCGCCGGUAUAUUUGCGCCACGCAUCAGGUUUCAUGUCUGUCUUGCUCAUGGUACGUGGAUUGAAUGAAAAUACGCCUCUGUUUGGAGAAUUUCUAGCAAUCGAGCCAACCUGUUCAAAGCUGUGACCAAGUACAUCUUCCCAAUAACCCCACAAUGGCGAUAGGUUUGAAGUGAUUCGCUCCGGAAACAGUGUCAGACGGGGAGUUUGACUGGGGCGGUACAUCUGUUAAACGAUAACGCAGGUGUCCUAAGGUAAGCUCAGCGAGGACAGAAACCUCGCUUAGAGUAAACGGGCACAAGCUUACUUGAUUUUGAUUUCCAGUACGAAUAGAAACCGCGAAAGCGUGGCCUAUCGAUCCUUUUGAUUGUGUAGAUUUCAUGCAAGAGGUGUCAGAAAAGUUACCACAGGGAUAACUGGCUUGUGGCAGCCAAGCGUCCAUAGCGACGUUGCUUUUUGAUCCUUCGAUGUCGGCUCUUCCUAUCAUUGCGAAGCAGAAUUCGCCAAGCGUUGGAUUGUUCACCCACCAAUAGGGAACGUGAGCUGGGAUUAGACCGUCGUGAGACAGGUUAGUUUUACCCUACUGAUGACAAGUCGUUGCGAUAGUAAUCCUGCUCAGUACGAGAGGAACCGCGGGAUCAGACAUUUGGUUCAUGCGCUCGGCUGAAAGGCCGGUGGCGCGAAGCUAGCAUCUGCAAGAUUAUGACUGAACGCCUCUAAGUCAGAAUCUUUUCUAGUCAUUGGCAACGAUAAGUUGCGUCCAGACUCGAUGCGAGGAAACGAUUAGGCUUUGCUAUACGGCGAAGCCAUUAUCAGACCACGGUAGCAGGCAGUAUGGGAUUGUUACGAAAAAGCAAUUUUUUGAAGUCAGUUGAAUUCAAUCAAACUGCUAACAAUUCCACUGCGAAUGACUCCAUUCGAAUCAAU